GAUGAACGCUGGCGGCGUGCCUAAUACAUGCAAGUCGAGCGAACAGAUAAGGAGCUUGCUCCUUUGACGUUAGCGGCGGACGGGUGAGUAACACGUGGAUAACCUACCUAUAAGACUGGGAUAACUUCGGGAAACCGGAGCUAAUACCGGAUAACAUAUUGAACCGCAUGGUUCAAUAGUGAAAGGCGGCUUUGCUGUCACUUAUAGAUGGAUCCGCGCCGUAUUAGCUAGUUGGUAAGGUAACGGCUUACCAAGGCAACGAUACGUAGCCGACCUGAGAGGGUGAUCAGCCACACUGGAACUGAGACACGGUCCAGACUCCUACGGGAGGCAGCAGUAGGGAAUCUUCCGCAAUGGGCGAAAGCCUGACGGAGCAACGCCGCGUGAGUGAUGAAGGUCUUCGGAUCGUAAAACUCUGUUAUCAGGGAAGAACAAAUGUGUAAGUAACUGUGGACAUCUUGACGGUACCUGAUCAGAAAGCCACGGCUAACUACGUG
rnacentral:rRNA from 1 species